AACGAACGCUGGCGGCAUGCCUAACACAUGCAAGUCGAACGAGACCUUCGGGUCUAGUGGCGCACGGGUGCGUAACGCGUGGGAAUCUGCCCUUGGGUUCGGGAUAACAGUUGGAAACGACUGCUAAUACCGGAUGAUGACUUCGGUCCAAAGAUUUAUCGCCCAGGGAUGAGCCCGCGCCGGAUUAGCUAGUUGGUGAGGUAAGAGCUCACCAAGGCGACGAUCCGUAGCUGGUCUGAGAGGAUGAUCAGCCACACUGGGACUGAGACACGGCCCAGACUCCUACGGGAGGCAGCAGUGGGGAAUAUUGGACAAUGGGCGAAAGCCUGAUCCAGCAAUGCCGCGUGAGUGAUGAAGGCCUUAGGGUUGUAAAGCUCUUUUACCCGGGAUGAUAAUGACAGUACCGGGAGAAUAAGCCCCGGCUAACUCCGUG
rnacentral:rRNA from 1 species